rnacentral:rRNA from 1 species
UUUAGCAUGGAAUAAUGGAAUAGGACUUUGGUUCUAUUUUGUUGGUUUCUAGGACCAAGGUAAUGAUUAAUAGGGACAGUUGGGGGCAUUAGUAUUCGGGAGUCAGAGGUGAAAUUCUUGGAUUUCCUGAAGGCUAACAACUGCGAAAGCAUUUGCCAAGGAUGUUUUCAUUAAUCAAGAACGAAAGUUAGGGGAUCGAAGAUGAUUAGAUACCGUCGUAGUCCUAACCAUAAACUAUGCCGACUAGGGAUCGGUGGAUGUUAUCUUAUGACUCCAUCGGCACCUUAUGAGAAAUCAAAGUUUUUGGGUUCCGGGGGGAGUAUGGUCGCAAGGCUGAAACUUAAAGGAAUUGACGGAAGGGCACCACCAGGAGUGGAGCCUGCGGCUUAAUUUGACUCAACACGGGGAAACUCACCAGGUCCAGACAUAGUAAGGAUUGACAGAUUGAGAGCUCUUUCUUGAUUCUAUGGGUGGUGGUGCAUGGCCGUUCUUAGUUGGUGGAGUGAUUUGUCUGGUUAAUUCCGAUAACGAACGAGACCUUAACCUGCUAAAUAGUUACGCAAACUUUUGUUUGUGGCUAACUUCUUAGAGGGACUGUCAGUGUUUAACUGACGGAAGUUUGAGGCAAUAACAGGUCUGUGAUGCCCUUAGAUGUUCUGGGCUGCACGCGCGCUACACUGAUGAAACCAGCGAGUAUAUAACCUUGGCCGAAAGGUCUGGGUAAUCUUGUGAAAUUUCAUCGUGCUGGGGAUAGAGCAUUGCAAUA